rnacentral:rRNA from 1 species
GACAGAGGGGGCAAGCGUUGCUCGGAAUUACUGGGCGUAAAGGGCGCGUAGGCGGGAUGGCAAGUCGGUCGUGAAAUCCCUCGGCUCAACUGAGGAUCGUCGAUCGAUACUGCCGUUCUUGAGGAUUGCAGAGGAGACUGGAAUUCCCGGUGUAGCGGUGAAAUGCGUAGAUAUCGGAAGGAACAUCAGUGGCGAAAGCGACUUCCUGGACCAAUACUGACGCUCAUGUGCGAAAGCGUGGGGAGCAAACAGG